GCUAAUACCGCAUAUUCUGUGAGCAGGAAAGCAGGGGAUCGCAAGACCUUGCGCUGAUUGAGCGGCCGAUAUCAGAUUAGCUUGUUGGUGAGGUAAAAGCUCACCAAGGCGACGAUCUGUAGCGGGUCUGAGAGGAUGAUCCGCCACACUGGAACUGAGACACGGUCCAGACUCCUACGGGAGGCAGCAGUGGGGAAUUUUGGACAAUGGGGGCAACCCUGAUCCAGCCAUGCCGCGUGAGUGAAGAAGGCCUUCGGGUUGUAAAGCUCUUUCAGCCGGGAAGAAAACGCAUGGGUUAAUACCCUGUGUGGAUGACGGUACCGGAAUAAGAAGCACCGGCUAACUACGUGCCAGCAGCCGCGGUAAUACGUAGGGUGCGAGCGUUAAUCGGAAUUACUGGGCGUAAAGCGUGCGCAGGCGGUUUUGUAAGACAGGCGUGAAAUCCCCGGGCUUAACCUGGGAACUGCGUUUGUGACUGCAAGGCUAGAGUACGGCAGAGGGGGGUGGAAUUCCACGUGUAGCAGUGAAAUGCGUAGAGAUGUGGAGGAACACCAAUGGCGAAGGCAGCCCCCUGGGUCGAUACUGAUGCUCAUGCACGAAAGCGUGGGUAGCAAACAGGAUUAGAUACCCUGGUAGUCCACGCCCUAAACGAUGUCAACUAGGUGUUGGGAGGGUAAAACCUUUUAGUACCGGAGCUAACGCGUGAAGUUGACCGCCUGGGGAGUACGGCCGCAAGGUUAAAACUCAAAGGAAUUGACGGGGACCCGCACAAGCGGUGGAUGAUGUGGAUUAAUUCGAUGCAACGCGAAAAACCUUACCUACCCUUGACAUGCCAAGAACUUUCCAGAGAUGGAUUGGUGCCCGAAAGGGAACUUGGACACAGGUGCUGCAUGGCUGUCGUCAGCUCGUGUCGUGAGAUGUUGGGUUAAGUCCCGCAACGAGCGCAACCCUUGUCGUUAAUUGCCAUCAUUUAGUUGGGCACUUUAACGAGACUGCCGGUGACAAACCGGAGGAAGGUGGGGAUGACGUCAAGUCCUCAUGGCCCUUAUGGGUAGGGCUUCACACGUCAUACAAUGGUCGGUACAAAGGGUCGCCAAGCCGCGAGGUGGAGCCAAUCCCAGAAAGCCGAUCGUAGUCCGGAUCGCAGUCUGCAACUCGACUGCGUGAAGUCGGAAUCGCUAGUAAUCGUGGAUCAGAAUGUCACGGUGAAUACGUUCCCGGGUCUUGUACACACCGCCCGUCACACCAUGGGAGCGGGUUCCGCCAGAAGUAGGUAGCCUAACCGCAAGGAGGGCGCUUACCACGGCG
rnacentral:rRNA from 1 species